AUAUAAGACAGAAGCAAGGUCUCAGAGAGGCAUUCGUUCUCCGGCGAGCCUGAGGAGAGGCAGCAGUCUGAGACUUGGUGAAGAGUUCGUGUGUGGACCAGCCCCUUCAGUCUGAACUAGAGGUCCAUCCCUUCACUGGCUGGCAUUAGAGCCAACUUUGGGAUUCCAGCAUAAAUUGAAGACCAGCUGAGACAUCCAGCCUCAUAGACUGAGAAACUUCUGGAUUCUCGGACUAUCCAGCCAUAGCCAGCCUCCUGACUUUUCUCUGUUGAAACCUGGUGCUGCUGAGGAUUUAAAGAGAGAGUCUGAUAUGAAAGCUGCUCACAACAUGGACCAAAAGAAAGUCACAAACUUGAAACUACAGAAUUUCCUUAAAAAAAAACAACUUGGUACAUGGUACCAGAGACAACUCCCAGAACAACUCAGCAGCAGCAGAGCCGAGAAAGGACAGCAGAGGAUGAGAACCUCGAAGAAAGAGAAGAAAAAGAAGCAAGCAAAGCAGAAAAAUGAGGAGCUGUGUCCCAAGAAACAAGUUAGCAAACCCCUCAUGGACGCUCUGUGGGCAAAAUUUAAGUUAAGAAGAAGCCCCACCGUGCAAGACUGUUAUUCACUGUCAUUUCAAUUUAGCAUGACAGACAAACAGGUCCAACAAUGGUUUCAUGAAAAGAGGAAGAAAUACAAGGAAGAAAUGUCGAAACAGAAGGAGAAGAAACAGGACUGAGGCAGGCGCUAGUGAGCUAAUAAUACCAGAGGAAAGAGGAAAUGGAUGUAAUGAACUCAUUUUUGAUGUUACAAAGACCAGCAAACCUACUUGGAAGACAUUAAAUUACACGGAAGUAAAAUUUGGCUGAAGGAACACCGGCCUCGCUUGAAGAUGAAGCCAUCCCGAUGCUCCAGGCACCAAUCCAGGGAAGCAGAUACUGAGAACUACUUCCCAACCCGAGGGAGGCUCCUCGCCACCUAGAGGACAACGCAGAUCUCCACUAUCAUAAGGGUUCAAGCAUUACGCUGGCCCACCCCGUCACCUGGUUGCAUAGUACCAGGUGAAAAGACAGACCCCCCCAAAUCCCGCCUCCCCCUGGGGACUUUUCCUGCCCCUUUUCUUUCUAAUAAAACUUCCCACUAAGCUCUGUCUGCCUGACAUGUUUGUCCCUCCGCCACGGUCACCCUCGCCUGCCAUGGAAUCCAGCAAGGUCCUCUUCGUGCUGUACCAUAACCAUGCCUGCCACCAGGGAUGGGAGCCAGACACUUCAACCCUUGUGCCCUAGACUGGAGUCAAAAACCGAAACACAACCAAGCCCCCAAAAUGGAGUUAUCUAGGCUUGCCCUGCAGUAGCCAGCCCAGGGCAACCAGCUGUGAACUCCUCCCUGGAGCCACCAGGGAACGUUGGAUACUAGGUGCCAAGUGACUCACCUAGGAGAGCAAAAGGAGCUCACACUGGGGUUGCCACAAGGAAAGACCUUCCAAGCCAAGACUUUAAGCUGAGUGCCUACCCUGUCCACACUUUAUCCUUCAGUAGGAAGCUGCAAGCCCAGGGACUAUUCCUAAGGGCACAUGGGACUGCCUUUCCCAGCACUCGUUGCUCUAAAUAAGGAAGCUGAACUGCUGGGAAAUAAUGUGAUUUAUUCAACAAGGGACAAAUCCCAAAUGACUGAGUCUGACUUUGUACUGUUCUGUCUCAACUACAAAAGCUUUUUGCUUUCAAUUAUAACAUGAAUAAUGAUACUCUA